UACAGAGGGUGCAAGCGUUGUUCGGAAUUAUUGGGCGUAAAGCGCGUGUAGGCGGCUUUGCAAGUCGGGUGUGAAAGCCCUCAGCUCAACUGAGGAAGUGCGCCCGAAACUGCAGAGCUUGAGUACCGGAGAGGAUGGCGGAAUUCCCAAGUAGAGGUGAAAUUCGUAGAUAUGGGGAGGAACACCGGUGGCGAAGGCGGCCAUCUGGACGGAUACUGACGCUGAGACGACGAAAGCGUGGG
rnacentral:rRNA from 1 species